rnacentral:rRNA from 1 species
AGGAUGAACGCUGGCGGCGUGCCUAACACAUGCAAGUCGAACGUCCUGUCUCGCAAGAGGCAGGGAGUGGCGGACGGGUGAGUACCACGUGGGUCAUCUACCGUGAGGUGAGGAAUACCGGCGAGAAAUCGCCGACAAGACCGCAUAGGCUCGAUGCAAGUCGAGCAAAGCUCUUUCGAGAGAGGGAGCGCCACACGAGGAGCCUGCGCCCGAUUAGCUAGCUGGUGGAGUAACGGUUCACCAGGGCGACGAUCGGUAGCUGGUCUGAGAGGACGAUCAGCCACACUGGGAUUGAGAACGGCCCAGACUCCUACGGGGGGCAGCAGUGAGGAAUUUUCGUCAAUGGGGCAACCCUGAACGAGCAACGCCGCGUGCAGGAAGAAGGUUUUCGGAUCGUAAACUGCUUUUCUCGGGAAGAGAAUGGACGGUACCCGAGGAAUCAGCCCGGCUAACUACGUGCCAGCAGCCGC